AACGAACGCUGGCGGCAUGCCUAACACAUGCAAGUCGAACGAGACCUUCGGGUCUAGUGGCGCACGGGUGCGUAACGCGUGGGAACCUGCCUUUAGGUUCGGAAUAACUCAGNGAAAUUUGAGCUAAUACCGGAUGAUGUCUUCGGACCAAAGAUUUAUCGCCUUUAGAUGGGCCCGCGUUGGAUUAGCUAGUUGGUGGGUAAAGGCCUACCAAGGCGACGAUCCAUAGCUGGUCUGAGAGGAUGAUCAGCCACACUGGGACUGAGACACGGCCCAGACUCCUACGGGAGGCAGCAGUGGGGAAUAUUGGACAAUGGGCGAAAGCCUGAUCCAGCAAUGCCGCGUGAGUGAUGAAGGCCUUAGGGUUGUAAAGCUCUUUUACCCGAGAUGAUAAUGACAGUAUCGGGAGAAUAAGCUCCGGCUAACUCCGUG
rnacentral:rRNA from 1 species